rnacentral:rRNA from 1 species
AUUGAACGCUGGAGGCAGGCCUAACACAUGCAAGUAGAACGAGUGGCGGACGGGUGAGUAAUGUCUGGGAAACUGCCUGAUGGAGGGGGAUAAAUAAUGGAAACGGUAGCUAAUACCGCAUACCAUCGGAUGUGCCCAGAUGGGAUUAGCUAGUAGGUGGGGUAAAGGCUCACCUAGGUGACGAUCCCUAGCUGGUCUGAGAGGAUGACCAUCCCCCCUGGAACUGAGACACGGUCCAGACUCCUACGGGAGGCCGCAGUGGGGAAUAUUGCCCAAUGGGCGCAAGCCUGAUGCAGCCAUGCGGCGUGUAUGAAGAAGGCCUUCGGGUUGUAAACUCCUUUCGGCGGAGCGGCGUUACCCGCAGAAGAAGCACCGGCUAACUCCGUGCCAGCAGCCGCGGUAAUUC